CUAGGUGACAGCAACAUCGGGUUUGCUCUUUCAGUCGGAGGCAGCAUUGGACCGGGCGUUAUAACCAGCUCCAAGUUCAAAGGGAAAAGCUUCAUGACAAAACGUUAUAAACCAAAACAGCGGAAAUACAGAUACGAUUAUGAUGACUAUGGACCCGGAAUGUGGCUACCUUGGUGGCCACCACCACCUUACUUUUAAAUAAAAGGAUUUUAAACUCAGCA